rnacentral:lncRNA from 1 species
AUGGAUUUAAAUGUAAGCAGGUCUAAAAAGAAAGCAGAGUUUCCUUUUAGAAGCUUAAGAAAACAAUUAGAAAUAAAAGGAGGCCAGAAAGCACAGUUAAUGAAGGGGCCCGAGAAGCAAAGGCGAUGGGGAAAUUCACCCGCUUCACGAACACUUUUGCAAGGGCGAGACGGAGGGACCGCACCCAGAGCUCUUCUGACCUUGCCCUUGACUCACUGGGCUCUCACAGCUCACAUCCGCCCUCCGGGUGAGCUUAAAGUCGCCGCUCCAUGGAAAUGUUUGUUCUGCCUCUGGAGCAGAAGACACCGCUUCUGGUGGCCCUGGUGGCCCUGUCUCUGGGGCUCUGAGGUCCUGCCAGGCCAGGAGGAGGCUCUCUUCUUGUCUCACGAGCAGGAUUCGUCCAUGGCCCCCAUGUUCAAUUUGUCCACUAGAUACCAGCUGGGACAUUCAGGCAAAGAGUUUCUGUUGCUCUCCAGCCAGCUCAGCUCAUGCAAGCAAGGCCAGAAAUCCUGUCUAUCCUACCUGCAGCUCAGGUAAGCCAGCCAAGGGGAAGAUGCUGCUAUGUGUCUCCAUCUGGGAACAGAGGGGCAUCUGACCCUAUGCAGGCAGCACGAGGUUGGGCUGGGGAGCUCCUCGUGUGCCCCUGUGUUCACGCAGAGCAACGCAGGCACACUCUCUCUAAGGCCCCAGGUCAAUAUCUUAGGCUCUGUGGGUCCCUAUCUUAGUCUGUUUGGGCUGCUGUAACAGAUCACCUUUGCUGAC